UACGUAGGCAGCGAGCGUUGUUCGGAGUUACUGGGCGUAAAGAGCGCGUAGGCGGCCCAGUAAGUCCGCUCUGAAAGUCAGGGGCUCAACCCCUGAAAUGCGGGUGGAUACUGCUGGGCUAGAGUCCGGAAGAGGCGAGUGGAAUUCCUGGUGUAGCGGUGAAAUGCGCAGAUAUCAGGAGGAACACCGAUGGCGAAGGCAGAUCUCUGGGCCGUUACUGACGCUGAGGAGCGAAAGCGUGGGGAGCGAACAGG
rnacentral:rRNA from 1 species